AUUCAGUUGACGAGUUCAAAAUAGAACGAAAUGAGCUUCCUGGAU
rnacentral:hammerhead_ribozyme from 1 species